rnacentral:tRNA from 1 species
GGGCCGUUAGCUCAGUUGGCAGAGCGCCUCGUUUGCAACGAGGAGGUCAGCGGUUCGAUCCCGCUACGGUCCA